rnacentral:rRNA from 1 species
UACAGAGGUGGCAAGCGUUGUUCGGAAUUACUGGGCGUAAAGGGCGCGUAGGCGGUUCGUUAAGUCCUGUGUGAAAUCCCCCGGCUCAACUGGGGAACUGCACAGGAAACUAGCGGGCUUGAGUUCGGGAGAGGGAAGCGGAAUUCCUGGUGUAGCGGUGAAAUGCGCAGAUAUCAGGAGGAACACCUAUGGCGAAGGCAGCUCGCUGGGACGGUACUGACGCUGAGGCGCGAAAGCUAGGGGAGCAAACAGG